rnacentral:ncRNA from 1 species
CUCAUUAAAUCAGUUAUGUGUCAUUUGAUCGUACAGUUUACUUGGAUAACUGUGGUAAUUCUAGAGCUAAUACAUGCGAGAAGCGCCGACCUCGCGGGAGGCGUGCAUUUAUCAGACCAAAAACCGGCCGCGUCUUCGGGCGCGUUCGCCUUGGUGACUCUGGAUAACUUUGCGGAUCGCACGGUCUAGCACCGGCGACGGAUCAUUCAAGUGUCUGCCCUAUCAACUUUCGUCGGUACGGUAUUUGCCUACCGAGGUUCUUACGGGUGACGGGGAAUCAGGGUUCGAUUCCGGAGAGGGAGCCUGAGAAACGGCUACCACAUCCAAGGAAGGCAGCAGGCGCGCAAAUUACCCAUUCCCGACGCGGGGAGGUAGUGACGAAAAAUAACAAUGCAGGACUCGUUCGAGGCCCUGUAAUUGGAAUGAGUACACUUUAAAAGCUUUAACGAGUAUCCAUUGGAGGGCAAGUCUGGUGCCAGCAGCCGCGGUAAUUCCAGCUCCAAAAGUAUAUAUUUAAGUUGUUGCGGUUAAAAAGCUCGUAGUUGGAUUUUGGGCGCAGGCGGCCGGUCCGUCGCAAGGCGUGUACUGGACGUCCUGGCCUUCCCUCCGGUUCUCCGCCGGUGCUCUUGACUGAGUGUCGGCGGCGGCCGGAACGUUUACUUUGAAAAAAUUAG